UCUUAAUUUGCGUUAAAAUUGCUACCUAUUUUGUCAAUUUGAACAAUAUCCUCAUCUCCAAUAAUGAGAGAAUUACCAAGUUGGAUCAUUUUAUAUAUUCGUGCUACUUAUUUACAAGGUUUUCUUUACUUUUUCAGCAAGGAUAUUAUGACCAAUCAGAACAUCAGAUGUCCCACGAAAGUGCAUUCCUAGCAAAUUCUCAAGAUGUAAAGAAAGAAGACGACUUGGAUCUUAUAGAACACUCUGUGCCACUCGAUUUUGACAAGAUGAACCGAGAUAAAAUUGACGCCGAUUGCAAUUUAUGGGAUGCUGUAGAGAGUUCUAAAUGGAUGCCAGUUGAUAUGGCUGAAGUUGCCUGACGUUAGGUCACUAUUACUUCGAAUUGUGUUUAUGAUUUUGAUUGUAUAGCAUAGUUAAGUUGUAUUAUACUGUAACGCAUGUUUUGUUUCCUUAAUAUUUGUAAAAAAAUAUUUUGACCACAAAGUAUCAUAAAUCGAUAGAUAUGCUUAUUGAAAA